ACGGCUGAGGAAGACGGAAGGAACCUGCCCUUCAGAGGGGGAGUAACUCCGCGAAAGCGGGGCUAAGACCGCGUACGCUCGUGGUGGGGAGAACACCACGAGGAAAGCCGCAAGGCGCUGAGGGAGGGGCUUCCGGCCCAUCAGGUAGUUGGUGAGGUAAAGGCCCACCAAGCCGAUGACGGGUCGCUGGUCUAAGAGGAUGAUCAGCCAGACUGGGACUGAGACACGGCCCAG
rnacentral:rRNA from 1 species